CCUACGGGAGGCAGCAGUCGAGAAUUAUUCACAAUGGGGGAAACCCUGAUGGUGCGACGCCGCGUGGGGGAAUGAAGGUCUUCGGAUUGUAAACCCCUGUCAUGUGGGAGCAAAUUAAAAAGAUAGUACCCCAAGAGGAAGAGACGGCUAACUCUGUGCCAGCAGCCGCGGUAAUACAGAGGUCUCAAGCGUUGUUCGGAAUCACUGGGCGUAAAGCGUGCGUAGGCUGUUUCGUAAGUCGUGUGUGAAAGGCGCGGGCUCAACCCGCGGACGGCACAUGAUACUGCGAGACUAGAGUAAUGGAGGGGGAACCGGAAUUCUCGGUGUAGCAGUGAAAUGCGUAGAUAUCGAGAGGAACACUCGUGGCGAAGGCGGGUUCCUGGACAGUAACUGACGCUGAGGCACGAAGGCCAGGGGAGCGAAAGGGAUUAGAUACCCCUGUAGUC
rnacentral:rRNA from 1 species